rnacentral:rRNA from 1 species
AUUGAACGCUGGCGGCAUGCCUUACACAUGCAAGUCGAACGGCAGCACGGGAGCAAUCCUGGUGGCGAGUGGCGAACGGGUGAGUAAAGUAUCGGAACGUGCCCAGUCGUGGGGGAUAACGUAGCGAAAGUUACGCUAAUACCGCAUACGAUCUAUGGAUGAAAGCGGGGGAUCGCAAGACCUCGCGCGAUUGGAGCGGCCGAUAUCAGAUUAGGUAGUUGGCGGGGUAAAGGCUCACCAAGCCGACGAUCUGUAGCUGGUCUGAGAGGACGACCAGCCACACUGGGACUGAGACACGGCCCAGACUCCUACGGGAGGCAGCAGUGGGGAAUUUUGGACAAUGGGCGAAAGCCUGAUCCAGCCAUGCCGCGUGCAGGAUGAAGGCCUUCGGGUUGUAAACUGCUUUUGUACGGAACGAAAAGGUUUGGCCUAAUAAGCUGAGCUCAUGACGGUACCGUAAGAAUAAGCACCGGCUAGCUACGUGCCAGCCGCCGCAGUAA